CGUAAGGCGCCGAAUGAGUCAUUAAAAAAUUAACAUCAUCCGAUCCCUAGUCGGCAUAGUUUAUGGUUAAGACUACGACGGUAUCUGAUCGUCUUCGAUCUCCUAACUUUCGUUCUUGAUUAAUGAAAACAUCCUUGGCAAAAUGCUUUUCGCAGUAGUUAGUCUUCAAUAAAUCCAAAGAAUUUCACCUCUGACAAUUGAAUACUAAUGCCCCCAACUAUCCCUAUUAAUCAUUACGUCGAUCCUAGAAACCAACAAAUAGGGUCAAACGUCCUAUUUCAUUAUUCCAUGCUAAUGUAUUCAAGCGCGAGCCUGCUUU
rnacentral:rRNA from 1 species